UUAAUUGACCUCAUGUGUGUGGGUUUAUCUCUGGGCUUUCUAUUCUGUCCCAUUGAUCUGUAUUUCUGUUGUUGUGCCAGAACCAUACUUUUUUGAUGUCUGUAGCUUUUCAGGACAGUGUGAAGUCAGUCUGAUUCCUGCAGCU